rnacentral:tRNA from 1 species
GGAGAGGUGGCUGAGUGGUCGAAAGCGCCGGUUUGCUAAACCGGUGUACGGGUCAAACCGUACCAUGGGUUCAAAUCCCAUCCUCUCCG